GGUUAAGCGACUAAGCGUACACGGUGGAUGCCCUGGCAGUCAGAGGCGAUGAAGGACGUGCUAAUCUGCGAUAAGCGUCGGUAAGGUGAUAUGAACCGUUAUAACCGGCGAUUUCCGAAUGGGGAAACCCAGUGUGUUUCGACACACUAUCAUUAACUGAAUCCAUAGGUUAAUGAGGCGAACCGGGGGAACUGAAACAUCUAAGUACCCCGAGGAAAAGAAAUCAACCGAGAUUCCCCCAGUAGCGGCGAGCGAACGGGGAGCAGCCCAGAGCCUGAAUCAGUGUGUGUGUUAGUGGAAGCGUCUGGAAAGGCGCGCGAUACAGGGUGACAGCCCCGUACACAAAAAUGCACAUACUGUGAGCUCGAUGAGUAGGGCGGGACACGUGGUAUCCUGUCUGAAUAUGGGGGACCAUCCUCCAAGGCUAAAUACUCCUGACUGACCGAUAGUGAACCAGUACCGUGAGGGAAAGGCGAAAAGAACCCCGGCGAGGGGAGUGAAAAAGAACCUGAAACCGUGUACGUACAAGCAGUGGGAGCACGCUUCGGCGUGUGACUGCGUACCUUUUGUAUAAUGGGUCAGCGACUUAUAUUCUGUAGCAAGGUUAACCGAAUAGGGGAGCCGAAGGGAAACCGAGUCUUAACUGGGCGUUAAGUUGCAGGGUAUAGACCCGAAACCCGGUGAUCUAGCCAUGGGCAGGUUGAAGGUUGGGUAACACUAACUGGAGGACCGAACCGACUAAUGUUGAAAAAUUAGCGGAUGACUUGUGGCUGGGGGUGAAAGGCCAAUCAAACCGGGAGAUAGCUGGUUCUCCCCGAAAGCUAUUUAGGUAGCGCCUCGUGAAUUCAUCUCCGGGGGUAGAGCACUGUUUCGGCAAGGGGGUCAUCCCGACUUACCAACCCGAUGCAAACUGCGAAUACCGGAGAAUGUUAUCACGGGAGACACACGGCGGGUGCUAACGUCCGUCGUGAAGAGGGAAACAACCCAGACCGCCAGCUAAGGUCCCAAAGUCAUGGUUAAGUGGGAAACGAUGUGGGAAGGCCCAGACAGCCAGGAUGUUGGCUUAGAAGCAGCCAUCAUUUAAAGAAAGCGUAAUAGCUCACUGGUCGAGUCGGCCUGCGCGGAAGAUGUAACGGGGCUAAACCAUGCACCGAAGCUGCGGCAGCGACACUAUGUGUUGUUGGGUAGGGGAGCGUUCUGUAAGCCUGUGAAGGUGUACUGUGAGGUAUGCUGGAGGUAUCAGAAGUGCGAAUGCUGACAUAAGUAACGAUAAAGCGGGUGAAAAGCCCGCUCGCCGGAAGACCAAGGGUUCCUGUCCAACGUUAAUCGGGGCAGGGUGAGUCGACCCCUAAGGCGAGGCCGAAAGGCGUAGUCGAUGGGAAACAGGUUAAUAUUCCUGUACUUGGUGUUACUGCGAAGGGGGACGGAGAAGGCUAUGUUGGCCGGGCGACGGUUGUCCCGGUUUAAGCGUGUAGGCUGGUUUUCCAGGCAAAUCCGGAAAAUCAAGGCUGAGGCGUGAUGACGAGGCACUACGGUGCUGAAGCAACAAAUGCCCUGCUUCCAGGAAAAGCCUCUAAGCAUCAGGUAACAUUAAAUCGUACCCCAAACCGACACAGGUGGUCAGGUAGAGAAUACCAAGGCGCUUGAGAGAACUCGGGUGAAGGAACUAGGCAAAAUGGUGCCGUAACUUCGGGAGAAGGCACGCUGAUAUGUAGGUGAAGUCCCUCGCGGAUGGAGCUGAAAUCAGUCGAAGAUACCAGCUGGCUGCAACUGUUUAUUAAAAACACAGCACUGUGCAAACACGAAAGUGGACGUAUACGGUGUGACGCCUGCCCGGUGCCGGAAGGUUAAUUGAUGGGGUUAGCGGUAACGCGAAGCUCUUGAUCGAAGCCCCGGUAAACGGCGGCCGUAACUAUAACGGUCCUAAGGUAGCGAAAUUCCUUGUCGGGUAAGUUCCGACCUGCACGAAUGGCGUAAUGAUGGCCAGGCUGUCUCCACCCGAGACUCAGUGAAAUUGAACUCGCUGUGAAGAUGCAGUGUACCCGCGGCAAGACGGAAAGACCCCGUGAACCUUUACUAUAGCUUGACACUGAACAUUGAGCCUUGAUGUGUAGGAUAGGUGGGAGGCUUUGAAGUGUGGACGCCAGUCUGCAUGGAGCCGACCUUGAAAUACCACCCUUUAAUGUUUGAUGUUCUAACGUUGACCCGUGAUCCGGGUUGCGGACAGUGUCUGGUGGGUAGUUUGACUGGGGCGGUCUCCUCCUAAAGAGUAACGGAGGAGCACGAAGGUUGGCUAAUCCUGGUCGGACAUCAGGAGGUUAGUGCAAUGGCAUAAGCCAGCUUGACUGCGAGCGUGACGGCGCGAGCAGGUGCGAAAGCAGGUCAUAGUGAUCCGGUGGUUCUGAAUGGAAGGGCCAUCGCUCAACGGAUAAAAGGUACUCCGGGGAUAACAGGCUGAUACCGCCCAAGAGUUCAUAUCGACGGCGGUGUUUGGCACCUCGAUGUCGGCUCAUCACAUCCUGGGGCUGAAGUAGGUCCCAAGGGUAUGGCUGUUCGCCAUUUAAAGUGGUACGCGAGCUGGGUUUAGAACGUCGUGAGACAGUUCGGUCCCUAUCUGCCGUGGGCGCUGGAGAACUGAGGGGGGCUGCUCCUAGUACGAGAGGACCGGAGUGGACGCAUCACUGGUGUUCGGGUUGUCAUGCCAAUGGCACUGCCCGGUAGCUAAAUGCGGAAGAGAUAAGUGCUGAAAGCAUCUAAGCACGAAACUUGCCCCGAGAUGAGUUCUCCCUGACUCCUUGAGAGUCCUGAAGGAACGUUGAAGACGACGACGUUGAUAGGCCGGGUGUGUAAGCGCAGCGAUGCGUUGAGCUAACCGGUACUAAUGAACCGUGAGGCUUAACCUU
rnacentral:rRNA from 1 species